rnacentral:rRNA from 1 species
AUUGAACGCUGGCGGCAUGCUUUACACAUGCAAGUCGAACGGCAGCACGGGUGCUUGCACCUGGUGGCGAGUGGCGGACGGGUGAGUAAUACAUCGGAACGUAUCCUAAAGUGGGGGAUAACGCAUCGAAAGAUGUGCUAAUACCGCAUACACUCUGAGGAGGAAAGUAGGGGAUCGAAAGACCUUAUGCUUUUGGAGCGGCCGAUGUCUGAUUAGCUAGUUGGUAAGGUAAUGGCUUACCAAGGCAACGAUCAGUAGUUGGUCUGAGAGGACGACCAGCCACACUGGGACUGAGACACGGCCCAGACUCCUACGGGAGGCAGCAGUGGGGAAUUUUGGACAAUGGGCGCAAGCCUGAUCCAGCAAUGCCGCGUGAGUGAAGAAGGCCUUCGGGUUGUAAGCUCUUUCAGUUGAGAAGAAAGAUUAGUGACUAAUAAUUAG